rnacentral:rRNA from 1 species
UUACUACAAUUUAAAGGACGCGGUAUCUUGACCGUGGUAAUGUAGCAUAAUCACUCGCCACUUAAUUGGUGGAUAGUAUGAAUGGUUGAACGAAUAUAACACUGUCUCAGGUAGAGGUUUUAUAAAAUUGGAUUAAUAGUAAAGAUACUAUUUUAAAUUAUAAGACGAAAAGACCCUAUAGAGCUUAACUAUAAUCUUUUUUUAAAAAUAUAAAUUUAUUUAUAAAAAUAAAAAGACUGGUAGUUUAGUUGGGGCGACUAUCUUCUAAAUAUAACGAAGAUAAACAAUAUUAAUGAAAUAAUUUAUUGUAUAAUAAAUGAAUUUAACAAUUACUAAAGUAGGUAAUAAUGACCCGUUCCCAUUUCAGAAAAAAGGGAACGAUCAAUUGAUAAAAGCUACCUUAGGGAUAACAGGAUAAUUUUAUCUUAG